CCUCCGCAUGGUGGGGGUUGAAAGUUCCGGCGGUGCAGGAUGGGCCCGCGGCCUAUCAGCUUGUUGGUGGGGUAGUGGCCUACCAAGGCGACGACGGGUAGCCGGCCUGAGAGGGCGACC
rnacentral:rRNA from 1 species